rnacentral:rRNA from 1 species
GACGAACGCUGGCGGCGUGCUUAACACAUGCAAGUCGAACGAAGAGCGAUGGAAGCUUGCUUCUAUCAAUCUUAGUGGCGAACGGGUGAGUAACGCGUAAUCAACCUGCCCUUCAGAGGGGGACAACAGUUGGAAACGACUGCUAAUACCGCAUACGAUCUGACCUUGGCACCGAGGAUAGAUGAAAGGUGGCCUCUAUUUAUAAGCUAUCACUGAAGGAGGGGAUUGCGUCUGAUUAGCUAGUUGGAGGGGUAACGGCCCACCAAGGCGAUGAUCAGUAGCCGGUCUGAGAGGAUGAACGGCCACAUUGGGACUGAGACACGGCCCAGACUCCUACGGGAGGCAGCAGUGGGGAAUCUUCCGCAAUGGACGAAAGUCUGACGGAGCAACGCCGCGUGAGUGAUGACGGCCUUCGGGUUGUAAAGCUCUGUUAAUCGGGACGAAAGGCCUUCUUGCGAAUAGUUAGAAGGAUUGACG